rnacentral:lncRNA from 1 species
GCUGAGUUGACUGUUCAGAUACUGUAGGUUAUUCUCCAUACAGCUGAGUUGACUGUUCAGCUACUGUAGGUUAUCCUCCAUACGGCUGAGUUGACUGUUCAGCUACUGUAGGUAUUUCUCCAUAUGGCUGAGUUGACUGUUCAACUACUGUAGGUUAUUCUCCAUACGGCUGAGUUGACUGUUCAGCUACAUGCUACUGUCGGUUAUUCUCCCAUAUGGCUGAGUUGACUGUUCAGCUACAUGCUACUGUAGGUUAUUCUCCCAUAUGGCUGAGUUGACUGUUCAGCUACAUGCUACUGUAGGUUAUUCUCCCAUAUGGCUGAGUUGACUGUUCAGCUACAUGCUACUGUAGGUUAUUCUCCCAUACGGCUGAGUUGACUGUUCAGCUACUGUAGGUUAUUCUCCAUAUGUCUGAGUUGACUGUUCAGCUACAUGCUACUGUAGGUUAUUCUCCAUAUGGCUGAGCUGACUGUUCAGCUACUGUAGGUAUUUCUCCAUAUGGCUGAGUUGACUGUUCAGAUACUGUAGGUUAUUCUCCAUAUGGCUGAGUUGACUGUUCAACUACUGUAGGUUAUUCUCCAUAUGGCUGGGUUGACUGUUCAGCUACUGUAGGUUAUUCUCCAUAUGGCUGAGUUGACUGUUCAGCUACAUGCUACUGUAGGUUAUACUCCAUAUGGCUGAGUUGACUGUUCAGCUACAUGCUACUGUAGGUUAUUCUCCAUAUGGCUGAGUUGACUGUUCGGCUACAUGCUACUGUAGGUUACUCUCCCAUACGGCUGAGUUGACUGUUCAGCUACUGUAGGUUAUUCUCCAUAUGGCUGAGUUGACUGUAUAGCCACUGUAGGUUAUUCUCCAUACGGCUGAGUUGACUGUUCAGCUUCUGUAGGUUAUUCUCCCAUAUGGCUGAGUUGACUGUUCAGCUACAUGCUACUGUAGGUUAUUGUCACAUAUGGCUGAGUUGACUGUUCAGCUACAUGCUACUGUAGGUUAUUCUCCAUAUGGAUGAGCUGACUGUUCAGCUACUGUAGUUUACUCUCCCAUAUGGCUGAGUUGACUGUUCAGCUACAUGCUACUGUAGUUUACUCUCCCAUAUGGCUGAGUUGACUGUUCAGCUACAUGCUACUGUAGGUUAUUCUCCAUAUGGCUGAGUUGACUGUUCAACUACUGUAGGUUAUUCUCCAUACGGCUGGGUUGACUGUUCAGCUACUGUAGGUUAUUCUCCAUAUGGCUGAGUUGACUGUUCGGCUACUGUAGAUUAUUCUCCAUAUGGCUGUGUUGACUGUUCAGCUACAUGCUACUGUAGGUUAUUCUCCAAAACGGCUGAGUUGACUGUUCAGCUACUGUAGGUUAUUCUCCAUAUGGUUGAGUUGACUGUUCAGCCACUGUAGGUUAUUCUCCAUAUGGCUGAGUUGACUGUUCAGCUACUGUAGGUUAUUCUCCCAUAUGGCUGAGUUGACUGUUCAGCUACAUCCUACUGUAGGUUAUUCUCCAUAUGGCUGAGUUGACUGUUCAAGUACUGUAGGUUAUUCUCCAUACGGCUGGGUUGACUGUUCAGCUACUGUAGGUUAUUCUCCAUAUGGCUGAGUUGACUGUUCGGCUACUGUAGGUUAUUCUCCAUAUGGCUGAGUUGACUGUUCAGGUACAUGCUACUGUAGGUUAUUCUCCAAAACGGCUGCGUUGACUGUUCAGCUACUGUAGGUUAUUCUCCAUAUGGUUGAGUUGACUGUUCAGCCACUGUAGGUUAUUCUCCAUAUGGCUGAGUUGACUGUUCAGCUACUGUAGGUUAUUCUCCCAUAUGGCUGAGUUGACUGUUCAGCUACAUCCUAGAGUAGGUUAUUCUCCAUAUGGCUGAGUUGACUGUUCAAGUACUGUAGGUUAUUCUCCAUACGGCUGGGUUGACUGUUCAGCUACUGUAGGUUAUUCUCCAUAUGGCUGAGUUGACUGUUCGGCUACUGUAGGUUAUUCUCCAUAUGGCUUAGUUGACUGUUCAGCUACAUGCUACUGUAGGUUAUUCUCCAAAACGGCUGAGUUGACUGUUCAGCUACUGUAGGUUAUUCUCCAUAUGGUUGAGUUGACUGUUCAGCCACUGUAGGUUAUUCUCCAUAUGGCUGAGUUGACUGUUCAGCUACUGUAGGUUAUUCUCCCAUACGGCUGAGUUGACUGUUCAGCUACUGUAGGUUAUUCUCCAUAUGGCUGAGUUGACUGUUCAGAUACUGUAGGUUAUUCUCCAUACGGCUGAGUUGACUGUUCAGCUACUGUAGGUAUUUCUCCAUAUGGCUGAGUUGACUGUUCAACUACUGUAGGUUAUUCUCCAUACGGCUGAGUUGACUGUUCAGCUACAUGCUACUGUCGGUUAUUCUCCCAUAUGGCUGAGUUGACUUUUCAGCUACAUGCUACUGUAGGUUAUUCUCCCAUAUGGCUGAGUUGACUGUUCAGCUACAUGCUACUGUAGGUUAUUGUCCCAUAUGUCUGAGAUGACUGUUCAGCUACAUGCUACUGUAGGUUAUUCUCCAUAUGGCUGAGCUGACUGUUCAGCUACUGUAGGUAUUUCUCCAUAUGGCUGAGUUGACUGUUCAGAUACUGUAGGUUAUUCUCCAUAUGGCUGAGUUGACUGUUCAACUACUGUAGGUUAUUCUCCAUAUGGCUGGGUUGACUGUUCAGCUACUGUAGGUUAUUCUCCAUAUGGCUGAGUUGACUGUUCAGCUACAUGCUACUGUAGGUUAUACACCAUAUGGCUGAGUUGACUGUUCAGCUACAUGCUACUGUAGGUUAUUCUCCAUAUGGCUGAGUUGACUGUUCGGCUACAUGCUACUGUAGGUUACUCUCCCAUACGGCUGAGUUGACUGUUCAGUUACUGUAGGUUAUUCUCCAUAUGGCUGAGUUGACUGUUCAGCCACUGUAGGUUAUUCUCCAUACGGCUGAGUUGACAGUUCAGCUUCUGUAGGUUAUUCUCCCAUAUGGCUGAGUUGACUGUUCAGCUACAUGCUACUGUACGUUAUUCUCCCAUAUGGCUGAGUUGACUGUUCAGCUACAUCCUAAUGUAGGUAUUUCUCCAUAUGGCUGAGUUGACUGUUCAGAUACUGUAGGUUAUUCUCCAUACGGCUGAGUUGACUGUUCAGCUACUGUAGGUUAUUCUCCCAUAUGGCUGAGUUGACUGUUCAGCUACAUGCUACUGUAGGUUAUUCUCCCAUAUGGCUGAGUUGUCUGUUCAGCUACUCUAGGUUAUUGUCCCAUAUGUCUGAGUUGACUGUUCAGCUA